UGCACGGUGUAAUUUGGGGUUNCCUGC
rnacentral:piRNA from 1 species